GAAAUGCGAUACGUAGUGUGAAUUGCAGAAUUCCGCGAAUCAUCGAGUCUUUGAACGCAAGUUGCGCCCGAGGCUCGUCCGAGGGCAUUCCUGCCUGAGCGUCAUCGCGCCACCCACCGAACCCUUCGGGGUCGAGUGAAUCUGGCCGUCCGAUCCCGUUCGGGAUCGGUCGGCUGAAAUUCAGAGAGUCCCGUUGCCGUGGAGACGCGGCUGCGAUCAGGUGAUCCGACCCUCCCUGAUCAGGAGCGAGGAAGCGUGCGCAGUCCCUGUCGUCUCUCAAGCAGCAUUGAAUCGGGACUCGAGCAGGUCUCGCGGUCCUCGACGGUUCCGUCCAACGGAACCGUCGAACAGGCCGGGAAACAGUCGAACGCAUCAGACCUCAGAUCAGGAAAGACUACCC
rnacentral:misc_RNA from 1 species